rnacentral:rRNA from 1 species
UACGUAGGGUGCAAGCGUUAAUCGGAAUUACUGGGCGUAAAGCGUGCGCAGGCGGUUUUAUAAGUUUGUCGUGAAAGCCCCGGGCUCAACCUGGGAAUGACGAUGAAGACUGUAAGGCUAGAGUGUGUCAGAGGGGGGUAGAAUUCCACGUGUAGCAGUGAAAUGCGUAGAUAUGUGGAGGAACACCGAUGGCGAAGGCAGCCCCCUGGGAUAACACUGACGCUCAUGCACGAAAGCGUGGGGAGCAAACAGG